AACAGGGUGGUGCCAUUUCUCAUAUCAGCCUCAUUCAUCUCUCUGUGUCCUGUGCCAGGAAUAAAAGGUUGUGAUGAUCAGUGACACAGAAACAGCUACCUGAUGGUCCUGUUGUGUACACACCGGAGAUGUUGCCCUGGAGACCAUAUGGCAGCAAGGGCAGUGUUCCUGUUUUCAUCCAGAUGCUGGGAGUUGCUUGGAGAAGCCUGUCCAUCAGGGAGCAGCUGCACCACGAGCCCAGAGUGCUCAGGUUGGCUGGAGAUCCUGCACUGUAAGGCAAGCUGAAUCCCUCUCCCUGGUUUUGUGUUGGCUGUGGCCAUGUUAAGCAUCAACAG
rnacentral:lncRNA from 1 species